AGAUCGUAGACUAUAAUUCCACGGAUUCAUCCAGCACCCCAGCAGCACCUCCAGCUGACAGAGGACAGCCAUCAGACUGUUUUUCGUGUAGAGCUGCAGAGUCCAGCUCGGAGAUGUUCCGCUUGCUAUGAGUCUCUACAUGUGCCUGGUGUCUCUACAUGUGUCCCUGGAGGUGUGUGAAGACAGAAAGAAGAAGAAGAAGAAGAAGAAGAAGAAGAA